GAAACGGGAGUCUGAGACUUCAGUGAUGCUGCUACUCCUAAUGCUAAUUUUAGACUCAGAAGUGUCCUCCUCAACUACUGCUGGGUUUUGUGGCUAUCAUUCCCCAGGAAAGAUGUCACAGAACAAGCAGAUACUGGAUCUUAAGGGAAAAAAUAUGGAGGAAUCAUCCUAUUUUCUCAUUUCCUGAAAGACUCAUCCAGCCUGCACCGGGACAGGUGUGCCCUUCUCUCAAUGUCAGAACUGGCUAUGAGAAAUCACUGAAGUUCUCCAGAUCCACAAGAACGCAGAAAUCAUGUCUCCUAGUCCUACUAUUCAUUGCUAAAGCAGAAAUGGGAGCCAGGGUCCGAGGACAGAAAGAUGUCUAUUUGUGCAUAGUCCUGUACUAUGUGGAAGUAGUGCGAGCUACCCUGCACAUCCUGAAGUCCAUAAAGAUGGACUACUACAGCAGGGCCACACAAAAGAGUCUCAUCCCGGGGAUGACCCACAGCAGUCAACCAAAAAGGAAGGAGGAAACAGUUCCCAGAAUUCCACUGGAAAUAUACACUAAGAUGACCCUGUUGUCUACAUGCUGAAGAGUGAAAAUCUAGCAUAUGAUCCUCUAUCCAAAGGAACUGUGAGUACUUUUUACAUGCUGAGUGCACCCCAAAUCCUGCAUAAGCCCUAGUAUUUAAACAGUCAAACCUAAUGACAAUCCUACAACAAAGCAGAUAAACCUGUUCAAGAUCACAUAGUAAGUAAACUGAGGAGGUGAAAUUUCCCUAAAACUCUGGUGCCUCAGAGCCCAAGUUCUUCCUACUUUCUACAAAGCCUUGAGUGUGCAGGCUCAGAAUAGUUCAGCAAGUCAAAAAAAGGAAGGGAGCAUGGACCAGGGUGGAAACUGUGCCUUAAACCUAUCCUGACUCACUCUUCUUAAUAAGCAUCAAAUGACAGCUGAAGGCUUCUAGAACAGAACGGCAAAGGGGAAUCCAGACUGCCAGUGACUGAUGGAUGAAUCAGCAUGGUGACUUUCGGCUCAAAGAGGAAGCCAUGAUGAACAGAUGUGAGCAGAGCGGAGUCCAGGACAUCUGAAAACUCCAGGGCACAAAGGGGCUAUGUAGUCAUUUCUGCUUCCAUCUCCAAAUGUUACUACAAAUUUCUCCCUAAGAUGCCACUGCUGGGGCCAAGACUCCUCCUAGAAGAUCUUUCUCUUUAAGAAGCCCUCCCAGUCCUCUGUUUUUGCUCUUGCUCUGGCCUCUAUCAAGAAUGCCCUUGCUCUCCUCUCUGCCUCUUUGACUCUGACUCCUGUCCCUCUCUUUCUCCCAAUUCUCUUUGACAUAGUGUGCUCAUUCAUGAAAUCAUCAAAUCUCAUUUACCAGCACUUGUAAGGAGCCUGCUGUUCCUGAACACCAAACAUGAUGUUGAGAUAACUUGACAAAAUAUUGUCCCUGUCUUCACUGCCUGGUAAGAAAGAGAAAUUUAUUGGAAGAGUAUAGUUGGAGCAACAAGAGCUUGCAGAAAACUUUGGAGUGACAGAAUACCUAUCAUUCUGGAUUUGGAGAUAACUGGAAGGCUUUUAGAAGGAGGUAUCAAUCUGUAUAUAUUUUGAAUGAUAGGGGAGAUGGAUGCAAAGGCAUGUGAAUGUCACUGAGAACCUCAGGUUUUCACACUCUUCUUCUGUCGGUGCCAACCUAAACCAGUCAUCUCACUUCUAUGAAUUGGUCUGGUCUGGCCAAAUUUCUCUUGCCUGAACUCUAAUCUCCGUAUUGAGUAGCCAUCUAACUGUUGUUCCUUUUGCAUCCCCCAGGCUUCUGGUUCUUUGUAUGAGAGAAAUACUAAUAGCAUUCUAGGAGUUCCUUGGACAGUAAAUUGGAAGUGCUGUCUUGCGGAGUGCUGGGAAGGUUAUGCUCAGCUGCAAGUUAAUGCUUCCCUGGGUAGACCUCUCCUGAUCUCACCAGGGAACUGGCACAGAGAUAAGAUCUGAAUGUGAGCAUCAUAGAUGCUUUCUGAACUAAGAUGAGCUUGAGCUUUAUUCACACACACACACACACACACACACACACACACACACACACACACACACACACCGCUCACAAAUACAUAAUCAUUAUCCUCACAUCUCAAAAUAUUUUCUUUCUUUGUUCCCACAGAGGCACUGAACCUUGUCCAAAUCCCACUCUACCAAGAUUCAUAGAAACAUUCUCCCCUAACCCAUCACUCUUCCUGUCUCACAUGAAUACAUUCCAGGCCCCAGAUUUCUGAGAAGGCAAAUAUGAAAUUAAACUUUUUCUAAUGUCCUGACUUUGAGCAGGUAAUUUCAUUGAACCUUGGUUUCCACAGGUACAAGACAGUAUAUGUACUGUGUAUACACUGCAAGGUUAUUUGGAGAACUAAGACAAUUCAUAAAAGGUGCCUGGCAGAACCCAGUAUAUUUCACCAUGUGGGUUCACUAUAUGCCAGCCACUUGGUGAAUAUUCAACAUCUAUUAGUUGUUACUAUUCCUUCUGUGUCAAUCACUAGCAGCACAUACCUUGGAAAGUCAUUUCACCUGUCCAUGCUUCUCUUCUCUGAGCCCUACAGAGUAGGUAUAAUAAUAGCACUGCCGCUCCAGGGUAUUAUAACAAUUGAGUGACUUAAAUUUUGUAAAACAUACAUAAGUCACUACCAUACCUACACCCUACGAUGAUAUCUAUAAUGAUCAUUAUUUUUAUUUUUAUUGUUUCUUCUCCAUACUUUAUUUUAUGUUCUUACUAUUUUAAGAAACAUUUGUAAGCUCUCUGAUCAUUUUGAAGUAUGGCUGUCAGCUUUUAAAUGUUCUUCCCAUUGAGCAACAGAGUCUGUGUUCCCUGAGUUUGAACAUGACCAAACCAUGAUGGCUUCAAUAAAGUACAA